UACGUAGGGUGCAAGCGUUGUCCGGAAUUAUUGGGCGUAAAGAGCUCGUAGGCGGUUUGUCGCGUCUGCUGUGAAAACCCGAGGCUCAACCUCGGGCCUGCAGUGGGUACGGGCAGACUAGAGUGCGGUAGGGGAGAUUGGAAUUCCGGGUGUAGCGGUGGAAUGCGUAGAUAUGUGGAGGAAUACCGGUGGCGAAGGCGGCCUCCUGGUUCAAUACUGACGCUGAGGUGCGAAAGCGUGGGGAGCAAACAGG
rnacentral:rRNA from 1 species